rnacentral:lncRNA from 1 species
GGGGGCUACAGGAAGUAGAAAAGAGUGGAAGCAGAGUUCAGAGAUUAAAGGGGAGGGUGCUGGGCAGGGUUCCCUGUGGUUUGCCCAUGCUCCUUUCACAUCCCAGCAGCCCAGAACUGAAACACAGUAUCCAUCAAAGAUCAGGUGUUCUUGCCAAAGCUCCACUCUCACGCCAAAAGUAAGCAAAAUAAUUAUCAUAGUAAGGUGUUGUCCUGUCUCAGAUAACUGUCCCUACACCAUGCUAUCUCCUCACAUAGCCCCAGGCUGUCCUCAUCAUAGGACAGACUCUCCAUCAGAUUUGUAGAAGUCCAAGGCUCAGAUACAACCAGUCACCUCAGGACAGUCCCUUAUAGAGCAACAUAGUGUCCUAACACAGCUCAGGGCUGUUUCCUGACCCCAUCCCAAACAUGUUCCCCUCUACAGCCAGGGUUGUCCUUGGCCAGUUGAAGGGCUGUUUCUUUCAGACUCAGAGUAUCCCAAUGCCAGUCUAGGCUAGUCCCUGUAAGACAGUCCUUGCAAACCCCAGCCAGCAGGUUCCUCUAUACUCCAAAAUUUCACUUUGUGGACACUCACCACUAGAUACUCAUAGCUCUGAGCAGGCUCAUGUUCAAAGUGUCUCCAUUACAGGGUAAAACUGUCUUCAGAACCCAGUUCUGUCCCAUUAGAAUUAGAGAUUGGUCCAGUAUGGCAAUGCUGUAUCCAUCCAAGGCCACCACACAGUCAGAGCCUAGAUUCUUGUCCCCGUCAUAUCCCAAGACCAUCUGCAUAGAACAUUUCUGUCUGUCACUAAGAACUGGGGGACUUAAAGGUUUGUUCAGGAAUUCGCCAGCCUGGAGCGAGAACUUCUGAUAAGCAGGUGGGAGCUAACAGCAAACGCUUUCCCCCAAGGUUAUGGCCAGCUGUUUCCACACUUAUUUAUCACGUUCUCUUAAGAUCACAGACUCUCAAGCUCAGCAGUGGUGGCCCAGGACUUUAAUUCUAGGACUCAGAAGGCAGAGGCGGGCAGAGUUCGAGGCCAACCUGGUGGUCUACAGAGCAACGGGACAGCUGGGAGUAUGCAGUGAAACCCUACCUCGAAAAGACAAACAAACAAACGAAAUAUCAUAGAUUCUCCAUCUAUGACACCGCUUGACACCAUCGGGCGGAACGCACAACAGUAAACGCCCCCGCCGCGACCAAUCAGCGAUUGCCGCACACCUCUGCCUUGGCCAAUCCACAGCGAUUUUGCAGUUCCACCCCUUACCUAGGGUGUGCGGAAGCUGGGGCGCCCCGUGCCCAACCUGGGGAGUGUCCAGAGCCUGUUCCUCCCCCAGCACACCCCCGCGGUGUCCUUCAGCUCCAAACUAAGGAAAACAAAUGCCAGCCUCCUCCCUCUGACCCACAUGUCUCAACUCUAUGCCGCCUUACAGCGGCAGCCACUGUCACUAUUGCACUGGCAAAGAGAGCAAAACUCUUCUCCCCUAAGGGCCAAGAAUAAAGCAGGCUCUUUUGCGCCUCCUUCAUUAUCUUCCAGUUGACCCUUUAAUUCUUCCCAGUGAGCAUUUUAAUUAGCACAGAGGUGAAGCGGAAGUGUGCUCCCUGGAGACAGGAGUUGGUGCCUGCUGCGAGGCCUCUGGGAGAUAGAGUUCUUUGGAGUCAAGAAUGCACGUGGACUAUCUGGGGAGGAAGCAAUGCUAGUGUGGAUAGACUCGUGUGAAGAACAGGAAAUAAAUGUCUUCUUUCUGGAU